AUUGAACGCUGGCGGCAUGCCUUACACAUGCAAGUCGAACGGCAGCACGGGAGCAAUCCUGGUGGCGAGUGGCGAACGGGUGAGUAAUAUAUCGGAACGUGCCCAGUCGUGGGGAUAACGUAGCGAAAGCUACGCUAAUACCGCAUACGAUCUACGGAUGAAAGCGGGGGAUCGCAAGACCUCGCGCGAUUGGAGCGGCCGAUAUCAGAUUAGGUAGUUGGUGAGGUAAAGGCUCACCAAGCCGACGAUCUGUAGCUGGUCUGAGAGGACGACCAGCCACACUGGGACUGAGACACGGCCCAGACUCCUACGGGAGGCAGCAGUGGGGAAUUUUGGACAAUGGGCGCAAGCCUGAUCCAGCAAUGCCGCGUGCAGGAUGAAGGCCUUCGGUUGUAAACUAGCUUUGUUAGGACGAAAGGU
rnacentral:rRNA from 1 species